rnacentral:lncRNA from 10 species
AAUAAGAUGCAGCGAAGUCCAGAAUCUGUGAAAUCAUUUUGGCCCAAAUGAGUCUUUUGUGUCCUUUGUUCAUGGAGAUUGGGUGAAGCAAGGUGCACCUGUUUCAAUAGUAAAGCAGCCCCACUGAGGAAAGGACUUUUUGAGUUGUGUCAUUAGAAGUCAUCAUUGCAUAUGUGAGAGAAGAGAGGAAGGAAAGGGCAGGAUGCAGUCACAUAACAGGAUCAUGGAAUUCUAAAAUUGGAAGAAAUAUGUUUCUAGUCAUCUAGUAUAGCUUCCAAUCCAUAGGAUGAAUCCUCAUGGCUAAUGAAAGCCUGGAAGAACAUUAGAACCACCAUGAGGAGGCUGCUGGGAUGCAAUGGUGUGGCGUGAUCUCGGCUCACUGCAACUAAUUUGGAGCAUCUUUCUAAGACUUUGCAUGUAAAUGUGACUGGAUGGCCAUCUGUCAGGAAAAGACUAGAAGAAUUGAAUUGGAAAAGCGAAAAAAAUAAAAGUGG